CGCUGGCGGCACGCCUAACACAUGCAAGUCGAACGAAGUAGCAAUACUUAGUGGCAGACGGGUGAGUAACAUGUAGGUAUCUACCCUUUGGCCUGGAAUAACACGAGGAAACUUGUGCUAAUACUGGAUAAGUCUUUACGGAGAAAGCUUUAUGCACCAUUGGAUGAGCCUGCACUUGAUUAGUUUGUUGGUGGGGUAAUGGCCUACCAAGACUUUGAUCAAUAGCUGAUUUGAGAGGAUGAUCAGCCACAUUGGGACUGAGACACGGCCCAAACUCCUACGGGAGGCAGCAGUGGGGAAUCUUGCACAAUGGAGGAAACUCUGAUGCAGCGAUGCCGCGUGAGUGAAGAAGGCCCUUGGGUUGUAAAGCUCUUUCGUCGGGGAAGAAAAUGACUGUACCCGAAUAAGAAGGUCCGGCUAACUUCGUGCCAGCAGCCGCGGUAAUACGAAGGGACCUAGCGUAGUUCGGAAUUACUGGGCUUAAAGAGUUCGUAGGUGGUUGAAAAAGUUGGUGGUGAAAUCCCAGAGCUUAACUCUGGAACUGCCAUCAAAACUUUUCAGCUAGAGUUUGAUAGAGGAAAGCAGAAUUUCUAGUGUAGAGGUGAAAUUCGUAGAUAUUAGAAAGAAUACCAAUUGCGAAGGCAGCUUUCUGGAUCAUUACUGACACUGAGGAACGAAAGCAUGGGUAGCGAAGAGGAUUAGAUACCCUCGUAGUCCAUGCCGUAAACGAUGUGUGUUAGACGUUGGAAAUUUAUUUUCAGUGUCGCAGCGAAAGCGAUAAACACACCGCCUGGGGAGUACGACC
rnacentral:rRNA from 1 species